rnacentral:rRNA from 1 species
UACGAAGGGGGCUAGCGUUGCUCGGAAUUACUGGGCGUAAAGCGCCCGUAGGCGGGUUUGUAAGUCAGGGGUGAAAUCCCGGGGCUCAACCUCGGAACUGCCUUUGAUACUGCAAAUCUCGAGUCCGGAAGAGGUGAGUGGAAUUCCUAGUGUAGAGGUGAAAUUCGUAGAUAUUCGGAAGAACACCAGUGGCGAAGGCGACUCGCUGGACAAGUAUUGACGCUGAGGUGCGAAAGCGUGGGGAGCAAACAGG